rnacentral:sRNA from 7 species
AUGUACAACUCGUACAUGCCCGCUCCUUCGCCUCGUCCGCACCCACCUGCACGACUAAUCGCUACGUUUUGUCAGCC